CACUCAUACGCCGCUGCGGCAAAAGCUUUAGGGUAUGACUGCAGCGGAAAUAUACUUACGCAGAGAAAUGAACCACUGUGCCAUCUUUGAGCCGUGUCUUUUUUCUUCAUUUCCGACCAAUGUUGACGGCUUCAACGUAAAAGAGCUGUAAAUCAAAUAUUUGCGUUUGAGUUGAAGGAGGAUAACCGUUUUUUUUUUGGGAAUGAAAUAAUUAUUUACUUUCUUCAGCAACUCCUCGAUGCUAUUAAAUGCAUACCAGACACAGAGCUUUGAAGGAUUGCGUGCGCAAAUAACUGAAGGUCAAAACUUGAGCGAAGCGCUAGAAAAUCAUAAUUCAUUUGGCUUUAAGACCGCAAUUCUCGGAUUUCCGCCAACACUUUGCCACAACCAGCAACACCACCAACAACAAGUGAUAUACAAUAGAAUACGUAUAGAAAAUAUAAAAAAAAAAACAAAUGCAAAUCGCAUUAUGUAAUAAAAAUGCUUAAAAGUAGCAGCAGCAGUAAUAAAAUGUUG